AUAUUGCACCAUGGAGGCAACUCUGAUGCAGCGACGCCGCGUGAGCGAUGAAGGCUUUCGAGUCGUACCGCCCUGUCCUAGGGGACGCUAAUGACGGUACCCUAGGCGGAAGCCCCGGCUAACUACGUGCCAGCAGCCGCGGUAAUACGUAGGGGGCGAGCGUUGUCCGGAAUUAUUGGGCGUAAAGGGUUCGCAGGCGGCCUUUUAAGUCAGAUGUGAAAGCCCACGGCUUAACCGUGGUAAGCAUUUGAAACUGGAAGGCUUGAGGUAAGGAGAGGAAAGUGGAAUUCCUAGUGUAGCGGUGAAAUGCGUAGAUAUUAGGAGGAAUACCAGUGGCGAAGGCGACUUUCUGGACUUAUACUGACGCUGAGGAACGAAAGCGUGGGGAGCAAACA
rnacentral:rRNA from 1 species